UGGGAUGUGGGAGUGCUGAGCUGGGGGGGACGCUUUGGGAGGCAGCUCUGUGCCUCCCUUAACUCGAGGGCUUGAUGUGCUCAAGACAAUAAGUCAUGUUAAAAUGCAGCAAUUAGGGCAUCUGUAAGAAAAUCCGUGCUCUGCUUUAAGGAGCUUCUACCAGGAGGUUAGCAGAACUCACCAGGGCUCCCAACAGCAGGCUCUAUCUGCAUUCAACAGACCCUCCAAAAUAGUCAUCUGCCUAGGUCUGGAGAGGAAAAAAUGCCCAUUGCCCAAGUGUUACACAAGCUGUCUGCCCCCAGCUGAUUCUCCCUGCAACCUGACGACUUUUCUCCAGCCAGCUGUUUGCCUGGAGGCUACAAACACCUGCUCUGCCUCAAAAACAGCUCCAGCAACUCCCUCCAACACGUCAGAAGACAGCAAAUUGAACAGCAGACAGACCUCCCCUCAAGGGGAAAACUUUUCUGGGAAGCAGCGGAUGGUUUAUCCACACGAGUGACUGCGUAAUUUUCUACUUGUUGAUGGCCACAGGCACAUCAAAGUUUCCUGAGCCGUGCCCUCGGUUCCCAGCAGGGCUCAUGGGCUGGGAUCCAUCCCAUAGCUGAAGCCAUCAGCCACGCCGGGCUUUGCACCGUCUCUCAAAGCAGACCCAGGCCACAGCUUUGAGACUACAGAACUAAUUUUAAGUCUCUGACACUUUGAGAGGAAAAGGAUUUCCACCACCUUCACAAUAAAGGCUCUCCCUGGCUCUGGCUCAACUGCUUGGGAGUCGCAGCAAUGUAGGAGGUCCUUCUGAUUUUAGGGUUCCCGUAACUGAGAGCAGUUAAGUGUAACUCAGACAGGCAGGAGAGGGAAUCCAGGAGGUGUGAAAUCUAAGCCUUAGGUUUUUUACUAAGGUUCUUAAAGAAGAGGAAAACGACAAAGGGUACUGUAAACUGGAGGCUGGAGCCUUGGAGGCUCCAUCAAAUUUGACUUCUGAACACCUUUACUUCUCUUUGCAGCUGGGUUUUGCUCUUAGUUACACUAUUCCUGUCUUGCUUUGUGUAUGUGCAAUUUCCCCGCUCACCUUCUGGACAUGUGAACCUGUCGUACCACCCUGCAAGGUGUCCCUGCUGUGCUCUAAAGCUGUUCAGCAACCUACCGGCCAGAUCUAGCCAAAAAAACCCUCAGUCAGACAACCCCUGCUACAGAGCCCGAGAGUGCCUGUAAGUGCUAUGGGGAGUGUGCAAGAAAUAGGAGAUUUCCAACCCUACUGUGCCCUACCUUAAGGUGUUGUUUUGGGGUGAAAGCCACAAAAUUCAGCCUAAUUGCAUGAAGCAUCAAAAGCUUCCAGGUUUGUUCAGGGGCAGAGCUGGUACUGGCUGAUUCCAAGCCCCAGCCUGCACGGCGUUACACAGCCUGGUGGAUUUGAAAUCCAUGCACCAAGAGUUCCCAAAGCUCAUAACUUUUAAAGUUUGCGAGGUUGCUCUCCUGAUGCCUGUGUAUCAGCCAAGUGAGGCUCGAAGACUCGGCACUGAGUCACGGGAAGGCAGGAUGUGUUCUGAAACACUGGGAAAGUUCACAGCUCCAAACCGCCCUGACCCGUGACUCAGGCUGCGUGUAAGCACUGCACAAAAUUUCACAUUAAGGUCAAGUUCAGAAACAGAAGGUUCCAGCAUUAAAAUAAAUGACUUGAAAGAGUUCAGAGGAGUAACGGGAAGCUGGGUCUUGGCUAAAAGAUGCCCGACAUCUUCAAAAGUGGGAGAAUCUUAGGAUUCUCCCUGACAGGCCUCAUUUCUACUCAUAUAAUGAAAUGGAGGUGCUGAGCUGGCAAGGUUUGGAGUACAGACAGAUUUCCUAGUGAACUAACGAAGCUCUUGAUACCCUGGGCCUGCCAGUUGUCUGUUUGGAUGCUCAGAGACGUGGGCAUCCAACAUCAAGCAGAGGAGCUUGAAGAUGUUAGCAGUGACCCUGUGGACCACCACCAGCGUGGAAUGUCCCAUGUAGACCUCACACGCGGACAGAAAAUCCCACAUUUCUGGUCUGAAAAACACGUUUCAAGUUCCCAAACUAGAACAGUAAAGGCAAAAGGGGAAGGGAAAAGGUUAUGAGGUGGGGAGCAUGAGACAGAGAGAUGGAUCCAGGCACAAGACAAGUCAGAGCUGAGUACUGUCUGACUUCUCAGUCCCCUGAGCGUCAGUAACACUCUGCUGCAGUUGUUCUCUCUCUGCCAGCCUGGCAUA